rnacentral:rRNA from 1 species
UGGGGGAUAUUGCACAAUGGGCGAAAGCCUGAUGCAGCGACGCCGCGUGGGGGAUGAAGGCCUUCGGGUUGUAAACUUCUUUUGCUCUGAACAAGGCAUGCUAAUGGGUGUGUUGAGUGUAGGGGUUGAUUAGCGCCGGCUAACUACGUGCCAGCAGCCGCGGUAAUACGUAGGGCGCGAGCGUUGUCCGGAAUUAUUGGGCGUAAAGGGCUUGUAGGUGGCUGGUUGUGUCUGUCGUGAAAGCUCAUGGCUUAACUGUGGGUUUGCGGUGGGUACGGGCUGGCUUGAGUGCAGUAGGGGAGGCUGGAAUUCCUGGUGUAGCGGUGGAAUGCGCAGAUAUCAGGAGGAAUACCGGUGGCGAAGGCGGGUCUCUGGGCUGUUACUGACACUGAGGAGCGAAAGCAUGGGGAGCGAACAGG